rnacentral:rRNA from 1 species
AUUGAACGCUGGCGGCAUGCUUUACACAUGCAAGUCGAACGGCAGCGCGGGCUUCGGCCUGGCGGCGAUUGGCGAACGGGUGAGUAAUGCAUCGGAACGUGCCCAGUAGUGGGGGAUAGCCCGGCGAAAGCCGGAUUAAUACCGCAUACGACCUGAGGGUGAAAGCGGGGGAGCGAAAGGCCGCGCGCCAUUGGGGCGGCCGAUGUCGGAUUAGCUAGUUGGUGGGGUAAAGGCUUACCAAGGCUACGCUCCGUAGCUGGUCUGAGAGGACGACCAGCCACACUGGGACAGAGACACGGCCCAGACUCCUACGGGAGGCAGCAGUGGGGAAUUUUGGACAAUGGGGGCAACCCUGAUACAGCAAUGCCGCGGGCGGGAAGAAGGCCCUCGGGUUGUAAACCGCUUUUGUUCGGGAAGAAAUCCUCUGGGCUAAUACCCCGGGGGGAUGACGGUACCGGAAGAAUAAGCACCGGCUAACUACGUG